rnacentral:rRNA from 1 species
AGCUUGCUGCUUCGCUGACGAGUGGCGGACGGGUGAGUAAUGUCUGGGAAACUGCCUGAUGGAGGGGGAUAACUACUGGAAACGGUAGCUAAUACCGCAUAACGUCGCAAGACCAAAGAGGGGGACCUUCGGGCCUCUUGCCAUCGGAUGUGCCCAGAUGGGAUUAGCUAGUAGGUGGGGUAACGGCUCACCUAGGCGACGAUCCCUAGCUGGUCUGAGAGGAUGACCAGCCACACUGGAACUGAGACACGGUCCAGACUCCUACGGGAGGCAGCAGUGGGGAAUAUUGCACAAUGGGCGCAAGCCUGAUGCAGCCAUGCCGCGUGUAUGAAGAAGGCCUUCGGGUUGUAAAGUACUUUCAGCGGGGAGGAAGGGAGUAAAGUUAAUACCUUUGCUCAUUGACGUUACCCGCAGAAGAAGCACCGGCUAACUCCGUGCCAGCAGCCGCGGUAAUACGGAGGGUGCAAGCGUUAAUCGGAAUUACUGGGCGUAAAGCGCACGCAGGCGGUUUGUUAAGUCAGAUGUGAAAUCCCCGGGCUCAACCUGGGAACUGCAUCUGAUACUGGCAAGCUUGAGUCUCGUAGAGGGGGGUAGAAUUCCAGGUGUAGCGGU